GUUUACCUGUGUGACUGCGUACCUUUUGUAUAAUGGGUCAGCGACUUAUAUUCUGUAGCAAGGUUAACCGUAUAGGGGAGCCGGAGGGAAACCGAGUCUUAAUUGGGCGUUAAGUUGCAGGGUAUAGACCCGAAACCCGGUGAUCUAGCCAUGGGCAGGUUGAAGGUUGGGUAACACUAACUGGAGGACCGAACCGACUAAUGUUGAAAAAUUAGCGGAUGACCUGUGGCUGGGGGUGAAAGGCCAAUCAAACCGGGAGAUAGCUGGUUCUCCCCGAAAGCUAUUUAGGUAGCGCCUCGUGAAUUCAUCUCCGGGGGUAGAGCACUGUUUCGGCUAGGGGGCCAUCCCGGCUUACCAACCCGAUGCAAACUGCGAAUACCGGAGAAUGUUAUCACGGGAGACACACGGCGGGUGCUAACGUCCGUCGUGAAGAGGGAAACAACCCAGACCGCCAGCUAAGGUCCCAAAGUCAUGGUUAAGUGGGAAACGAUGUGGGAAGGCCCAGACAGCCAGGAUGUUGGCUUAGAAGCAGCCAUCAUUUAAAGAAAGCGUAAUAGCUCACUGGUCGAGUCGGCCUGCGCGGAAGAUGUAACGGGGCUAAACCAUGCACCGAAGCUGCGGCAGCGACACUGUGUGUUGUUGGGUAGGGGAGCGUUCUGUAAGCCUGUGAAGGUGUGUCGUGAGGCAUGCUGGAGGUAUCAGAAGUGCGAAUGCUGACAUAAGUAACGAUAAAGCGGGUGAAAAGCCCGCUCGCCGGAAGACCAAGGGUUCCUGUCCAACGUUAAUCGGGGCAGGGUGAGUCGACCCCUAAGGCGAGGCCGAAAGGCGUAGUCGAUGGGAAACGGGUUAAUAUUCCCGUACUUGGUGUUACUGCGAAGGGGGGACGGAGAAGGCUAUGUUGGCCGGGCGACGGUUGUCCCGGUUUAAGCGUGUAGGUGUGUGUUCCAGGUAAAUCCGGUUCACUUUAACACUGAGGCGUGACGACGAGGCACUACGGUGCUGAAGCAACAAAUGCCCUGCUUCCAGGAAAAGCCUCUAAGCAUCAGGUAACAUCAAAUCGUACCCCAAACCGACACAGGUGGUCAGGUAGAGAAUACCAAGGCGCUUGAGAGAACUCGGGUGAAGGAACUAGGCAAAAUGGUGCCGUAACUUCGGGAGAAGGCACGCUGACACGUAGGUGAAGUGAUUUACUCAUGGAGCUGAAGUCAGUCGAAGAUACCAGCUGGCUGCAACUGUUUAUUAAAAACACAGCACUGUGCAAACACGAAAGUGGACGUAUACGGUGUGACGCCUGCCCGGUGCCGGAAGGUUAAUUGAUGGGGUCAGCGCAAGCGAAGCUCCUGAUCGAAGCCCCGGUAAACGGCGGCCGUAACUAUAACGGUCCUAAGGUAGCGAAAUUCCUUGUCGGGUAAGUUCCGACCUGCACGAAUGGCGUAAUGAUGGCCAGGCUGUCUCCACCCGAGACUCAGUGAAAUUGAACUCGCUGUGAAGAUGCAGUGUACCCGCGGCAAGACGGAAAGACCCCGUGAACCUUUACUAUAGCUUGACACUGAACAUUGAGCCUUGAUGUGUAG
rnacentral:rRNA from 1 species